ensembl:lncRNA
AAGCCUACUACCAAUUAAGCAUAUUAGGUGAUGUGCAUCUCUGUAAUGAGAAGGGGUGUGGUCUAAUGACAUCAACACCCUAUAUCAGGUGUGCAUAAUUAUUAGGCAACUUCCUUUCCUUUGGCAAAAUGGGUCAAAAGAAGGACUUGACAGGCUCAGAAAAGUCAAAAAUAGUGAGAUAUCUUGCAGAGGCAUGCAGCAGUCUUAAAAUUGCAAAGCUUCUGAAGCGUGAUCAUCGAACAAUCAAGCGUUUCAUUCAAAAUAGUCAACAGGGUCGCAAGAAGCGUGUGGAAAAACCAAGGCGCAAAAUAACUGCCCAUGAACUGAGAAAAGUCAAGCGUGCAGCUGCCAAGAUGCCACUUGCCACCAGUUUGGCCAUAUUUCAGAGCUGCAACAUCACUGGAGUGCCCAAAAGCACAAGGUGUGCAACACUCAGAGACAUGGCCAAGGUAAGAAAGGCUGAAAGACGACCACCACUGAACAAGACACACAAGCUGAAACGUCAAGACUGGGCCAAGAAAUAUCUCAAGACUGAUUUUUCUAAGGUUUUAUGGACUGAUGAAAUGAGAGUGAGUCUUGAUGGGCCAGAUGGAUGGGCCCGUGGCUGGAUUGGUAAAGGGCAGAGAGCUCCAGUCCGACUCAGACGCCAGC